UACGUAGGGGGCGAGCGUUGUCCGGAUUUAUUGGGCGUAAAGAGCGUGUAGGCGGCUUCACAGGUCCGCUGUGAAAACUCGAGGCUCAACCUCGAGAUGUCGGUGGAAACCGUGUGGCUAGAGUCCGGAAGAGGAGAGUGGAAUUCCCGGUGUAGCGGUGAAAUGCGCAGAUAUCGGGAAGAACACCCGUGGCGAAGGCGGCUCUCUGGGACGGUACUGACGCUGAGACGCGAAAGCGUGGGGAGCGAACAGG
rnacentral:rRNA from 1 species